rnacentral:rRNA from 1 species
AUUGAACGCAGGCGGCAUGCCUUACACAUGCAAGUCGAACGGUAACAGGUCUUCGGAUGCUGACGAGUGGCGAACGGGUGAGUAAUACAUCGGAACGUGCCCGAUCGUGGGGGAUAACGAAGCGAAAGCUUUGCUAAUACCGCAUAAGAUCUAAGGAUGAAAGCGGGGGACCGCAAGGCCUUGCGCGAACGGAGCGGCCGAUGGCAGAUUAGGUAGUUGGUGGGAUAAAAGCUUACCAAGCCGACGAUCUGUAGCUGGUCUGAGAGGACGACCAGCCACACUGGGACUGAGACACGGCCCAGACUCCUACGGGAGGCAGCAGUGGGGAAUUUUGGACAAUGGGCGAAAGCCUGAUUCAGCCAUGCCGCGUGCAGGAUGAAGGCCUUCGGGUUGUAAACUGCUUUUGUACGGAACGAAAAGACUCUUUCUAAUAAAGAGGGUCCAUGACGGUACCGUAAGAAUAAGCACCGGCUAACUACGUGCCAGCCGCCGCAGUAAAAC